AGGACCCACCGCCAUCCGCCUUCUAUAACUUUGUUCGAACCCGUGCCAUCGUCUCAUAUCGCUUAUCAGCGAGAGGACAGGAGAAGAGAAAGAGAGAGAGGGAGCGAGGGAGACUCGCUCGCCGAACUAGGGUCUCGAUCGAGAGUUCUGGUGCGGUGCUGUUCCUUUGGACUAGUAGAUGGUGAAGGAAGAGAGGAUCUUGAAGCAUAGUGCUGGUUUACUUCUUGGUUCCUUAAAGCAAACUUGGUUCUUUUACUUCUAUUUCUUGAUUUGUACUCUUAUGGUAACUGAGUGGGAGAUUGCCAUUAUGUAUAUAUAUGGUGAAGAAGGAUAUGAUAUCGAAGCAAUGCGGGUUUAGGUCAUCUACCUGUUCUUGGUUUCUUUUUUUUUUUUGGUGAAUGAAGAGAGGAUCUUGAAGCAUAGUGCUGGUUUACUUCUUGGUUUCUGAAAGCAAACUUGGUUCUUUUACUUCUAUUUCUUGAUUUGUACUCUUAUGGUAACUGAGUGGGGGAUUGCCAUUAUGUAUAUAUAUGGUGAAGAAGGAGAUGAUAUCGAAGCAAUGCGGGUUUAGGUCAUCUACCUGUUCUUGGCUUCUUUUUUUUUUUUUGGUUUUGUUUUCAUAUUAUGUCCAUUGUGAUUUCCAGUCUGCUUUGAGGAAUAUACUGCAGUUUUGGCAUCUUCAACAAAUAUGAAAGAAAUUUUUAACCAAGUAGGGUUAUCUUGAUCGGAAGGAGCUAGCUCUGUAAAUCCAACAAGUAGAGCACGCAGAGAUAGUGAAACAAAUGGAAGGAAAAUUUUUGGUGAAAA